AGUUUCUCACGCGUCAUAUUUUUACUCAUCCGCUACGUAUGAGUUUCUCGUGCGCCCUAUUUUUAUUCAUCCGCUACGUACGAGUUUCUCGCGCGUCAUAUUUUUACUCAUCCGUUACCUACGAGUUUCUUGGGUGCCCUAUUUUUACUCACCCGCUACUUAAGUAGCGGACGGUGUUUUAUAAUUUAUAUUACAAACUAAGUUCAAAUAAUCUAAAAAAAAUUAUUUAUAUUUAUUUUUAAU
rnacentral:lncRNA from 1 species